rnacentral:rRNA from 1 species
AUUGAACGCUGGCGGCAUGCCUAACACAUGCAAGUCGAACGGAGGUAGGGGCAACUCUACUUCAGUGGCGGACGGGUGAGGAAUGCGUCGGAAUCUACCCUAUGGUGGGGGAUAACACAGGGAAACUUGUGCUAAUACCGCAUAAUGUCGAGAGACCAAAGCAGGGGACCGCAAGGCCUUGCGCGAUAGGAUGAGCCGACGCCCGAUUAGCUUGUUGGUAGGGUAAUGGCCUACCAAGGCGACGAUCGGUAGCUGGUCUGAGAGGAUGAUCAGCCACACUGGGACUGAGACACGGCCCAGACUCCUACGGGAGGCAGCAGUGGGGAAUAUUGGACAAUGGGCGCAAGCCUGAUCCAGCAAUGCCGCGUGUGUGAAGAAGGCCUGCGGGUUGUAAAGCACUUUUGUUCGGGAAGAAUCAUGCUGGUUAAUACCUGGUAUGGAUGACGGUACCGAAGAAUAAGCACCGGCUAACUUCGUGCC